rnacentral:rRNA from 1 species
AGGACGAACGCUGGCGGCGUGCUUAACACAUGCAAGUCGAGCGGAAAGGCCCUUCGGGGUACUCGAGCGGCGAACGUGUGAGUAACACGUGAGCAACCUGCCCCUGGCUCUGGGAUAGCCUCCGGAAACGGGGAUUAAUACCGGACAUUCACUUCCUUCCGCAUGGUUGGUGGUGGAAAGUUUUUCGGCCGGGGAGGGCUCGCGGUCUAUCAGCUUGUUGGCGGGGUAACGGCCCACCAAGGCGACGACGGAUA